CCCUCCCUGGUGGGUCCUAGACAUUCUCCCAUGGCCUCCCGCCUCCCUCCGCAGUCCCCCUGGGCUUGGCCCUCCGCCUCUGCCCCAGAACGGCCUUCAGAUCCUGCGCUCCUCCUGAGCUCCUGGCUGCCGACCCUGCAGGGGCUCAGGACCCAGCCGGCAGGUCCAAACCGGGGCCGGGGCAGGACUUGGGCAGGGCGCACUGAGGGCGAGGGUUUGGCACAUUAUUGUUAUCAUUAUCAUAACUGUCGCGAUCAUGAUCAUUUUUGGUUGGAAUUGACUGACCACCAACUUGAGGGGUAACAUCUGGCAACAUUUUAGUUUGGACACGGCGCCUUCCACCUCCCUCUCGUGCUCUGGGCCUCCAGCGCAGAGGCUGUUCCCGGGGGGCACACACGCUCCGAAUCCCCGGACCCACCCUGGGCACAAGAGCUCGUGGAUCUUCCGUGGCACACCUCAGGGAUUCGCCCCUUUUGUGUGGAUAAAUGAGAUAAUCUAUGCGAAGAGCUUCCGAAAGAAGAAUUCCGAGGGAGGGGACUACCAAAUCUACUGGACACGGAAAGUGAAGGUCCUGAGUGAGAAGUCGGCAGAGAACACCGUUCCGUCCCAGAGUUCUCAAAUUCAGUGUGGAGGACAAGGCAGGCCUAUCACAGCGGAGAAAAUUAUCAGUUCCUUGCAAGACGACUCGCUCUCUGGUGCCUAGUGAUCACUUCAGAGUCCGCAAGGCUGAGGCUGCAGCGUCAUGUGGGCUGUCCUAGGACUCCUGUUCAUCUGCUGUCCGCGCACGUUUUGGGGACCCUGGUCUCCAGGCAAAGGAUGAAAACGCCGGUCUACCGAGCACG